rnacentral:tRNA from 1 species
GUAUCACCUGGCUUCGCUGGUCUGCAAAACCAGUAUCAUGAGUUCAAAUCCCAUUCGGCGCUCCA